AAAAGGAGGGACGAUUUCAGAUUUCUCUCUCCAGCCACGCAGUCCUGGGACAAUCACAGCCAAAUUCUUGAAAUUCUGCUCCUUUUAAUUCUUCCAUUUUACUGCCACUCUUUCUAGGCUUCUUUUAAAGAUACAAUGUGGUGACACAUUUUAUGUGAGUGCUUCGUGCUUAUCCUUGGAUAUCUCACCACUACAACCUCAGCCUGGGAGAAACCAAACCUCGGCAUUGACUUCCAGGCUUGACUUGAAUUCACUGUGCAGCCUAUGCUGAUCUCAAACUCACGGUGAUCCUCCUGCCUCAUCCUCUGAAGUGCUGGGGUUACAGGCCACUUCACAACUGAGCCAAAUGCCUAUAACCAUUGGGGAAGUGUCAGAAGAUUUUGCCUACCUUAUUGUGCUUGGUGACUGCGUGCCUCUGAUUGAGCUCAGGUAUGUGGAGUUUGGAUAGACAGCUAAGCUCAACUCCUAAAUUUGCUGUUAUGGCUGUCAGUCAAAUUAUGUAUCCAAGACAUUUUCAAGAAUUGACACAUGCAGUCUACCUAAAGGAAACUCAAACAGUGCCCUGACCACGCAGCCGCGCUCAUUUUCCACCUGAUCCUCGCUGGCUCAUUAGACGUCCUCCGCGCUCCUCCGCAGCAGCUCUCCUAAUUAUGUCGGUGGUGCACAGCGUGGCUCCUUAAAGACUCUGCUUCUUCACUCCGUUCACGCUAUUUCACUGGAGAGGAAAUCUGCAUCCACGCUCCAGCAGAAGCCAUAGGUCACCACGUGGAAAGUUGGAGGGCAAAAAGUGUUGUCAGUAAUGAGAUCGCAGGCAUUUGGAAAGUUCACAGGGUCCUUUGUACAACAGGGAAGAAUCCCUCUGUUUCCUUUGGUGCGGCUUCAUGCUAAUUUCAGAACAUCAGCCAGCUUUCGUGUCUCCACUGAAACUUCAGUUCACAAUGGAGCCCCUUUCAUCCUUUUUUUUUUUUUUUUUUUUUUUUUUUUUUUUUUUUUUUUCCAGCUAGGCAGCUAGAUUUAUCUUGUUGAUCUGCGGAAAAAAAGAAAAAAAGAGACAGUCACAUGAAUAUAACAGAUGGAACAAAUUGAAGGGUUUGCUUCUAUUACUUUUCUUCUUACAAAAAUGAGAAAGGAAUAUUGUUUGUCGACGGAGCACAUAUUGUUAUGAUUAUUUACUAUACGGAAAUUAGGUGACAGCCUAAAACGCUAAGAUCUUUGUAAAUUGCUGACAAGGGCUGAAUGGCAACAAAUGCACUAAUUCACAAUGCAGAAUUUGUGUCUUCACUUUGUCAUUAAUUUUUCCUUGUGAUUCCUGCGGCUACGUCCAGCAAAAGAGCAGACACCCAAAUGCACCCAUUCUCAUUCUCCUAUUUCUGACCAGUUUGAUUUUACCUCGUAGAGAAAGCAGUGAGCAUGGAGGAAAGGAAAUGAUUGACUUUCCAACCUGGAACUGUGUGCUGUGUUGCCUCUGAACCGUGUUUCCGCUGUGCCAUUGCUCUGAACACAGACAGGCGUGGAGAAUCCUGUAGCCCCUCAGUAGCCCCAUCAUCCUCCGGAGCCCCAGGUGUGACUUGCCCAAGACACAUCUUCACAGUUCAGGGGAGAAAACACAUAGAAACUUCAACUCAGACUGACUUCUGAUUUUCUGCUGGUUCCAGUCCAUGUGUUCAAAUCCCAGUGUUAAUGAUAUUCUCACCCAAUUGUCUCAUGUAAUUUCCGCAUUUCUAGGUUUAAGAGUGACGAAGAUUCUUUCUGUUCUUUCUUCACUAGUCUUUCUUUUUCAGAAGGUGUUUCAUGUUAAAUUAAGAAAUGAGCCAUAACCUUUGACUUUACCACUCUAACAUAAGGAAAUGGACAUUCGCACAUUACAUCCUCAAGGUUGUUUUAUAAGGCUGUUAGUGAAAAAUCUUCCCAGGGGUGAGUUUUAUUGAUUGAUUUUUAAUAUGAUAUGAAUCUUUGAAUCAACUGUGUUACAAUUUAGUAGUUGGGUUGGCUGAAAACAUCAUUUUUCUAUGUUGUUGGUUUGAUCUUUGUCUUGGUCUGUUUUCUGGACUGAGAAUGAACAAGCAAGCAUAUGCAAGAUGAGAAAGUAAAUUAAGCCAAACUCAUCCUUUAUUUAGAAGCCCACUCCUUCAAAAGCUAACCCCCUCACACGAUAAUGGCUUUCAUCCAUUCAUGAAGGCAGAGGGCUCUUGAGCUAGUCUUAAAAAUCCCACUUCUCACAGUAGAAAUCAAAUGUCAACACAUACUAUAGAGAUUACAUUCAAACCGUAACAAUUCUAUGCACAAGACCUCAGGAUAAAGACAAUUAUAGAAUGUCAACUCGUAAAGGACAUUAUAAAUACUAGCUUGUAUCAGUAGUAAUGUUUUACUGAAAGUUAGUGUCUUAUUGAAUUACUGUAUUUUUACUGAAUGAGAUUAAUGAUAAAGAUUCUCUUCCCCUGAUCUUUCAACUCACCUGUGUCUCUAAUAUUUCUGGAAUAGCACUGCAUAUUUGUUGUUGUUGUUUUGUUUGUUGAUUUGUUUGUAUGUUUUAUUGGUUCCGGGGAUCAAACCGCAGUCCUCCUGCUUGCCAGGCAGUGCUUAUGCUGCUGGGCUAAAACCCAGGGAUGCAUACUGCUUUUAGGGGGAAACUUUUUCUAACUCAUUUCACAAUUCCCACUCUGUCUGGCUGAUACUGUUUUACAUUCUUAACUUAUUCUUUGCUCCUUACGAGUCUUCCUAAGAAUAAUGUAUAAAAUGAGCAAUGUCUAUAUGAAUAAAACUGUUACUCCCAGAAAAACGUGGAUCUACACAAGGUGGACUUAAAUUUAUUGUUCAGUGUUAUAUCCUUUAAAAGCAAACAAUAGGUUCAUAUUUGGAAAAUAAUACAAAUUUGUUAAAUUUAUAUGUCAUUUCUAAAAAUACAGUUAGUAUUUGACCCAUUGUUUUACCUUCCCUUGUAGUUAUAACCUUUUUGCUUAACCCUAAAGAUUCAAAGAGAAGUCUUGCUAAUAUUUAUAGCAAGGUAUUCUACAAAGAGACAAAAGUAAGACUAACAGAAAAUAUAUCCAUGGACACCCUAAAAGUAAAUAGCACAAUAUUUAAAAAGUCUUUUAAGAGAAAAAUUCUAAACAUAGAAGACUAAAAUUAUACUCAAUUUUGAAAGUAAAAAAGACAUUUUAAGUUUUGAUUAUUCAGAAAGUGUGUUUCUUUUUGAUUUUUUUUUUUUUUUUUUUUUUUUUUUUUGACGCUGGAAAUGGAACUCAGAGCCUAGUACUUGACAGGCAGUUCCUGAGCUACUGAGCUACAUACCUGGCCCUGUAUUCUCUUUUGAAGAGAUUAUUAGAUGAUAUACUUCCAAAGUGAUUGUGGAGACACACAUAUAUAUCAUAUAUUUCCUCCUCAUGAUGAAACAGAAAGAUCAAAAGCUAAACAAGAAAAUAAAAGCCAAGACCUGGAACAUGUUUAAACUACAAGUAGAAUCUAUCAACAUACUUGGGCUAAGGGAGAGGAAGAUUAUAGAUAUUAUCUAGACCUUAGGAACAUUUGAAGGAACUUAGUGAUAAGCAUCCUAACUUGUAUUACAGGAACAUUUCAACAUCACUUAAUAAAGAAAAAAAAUCUAUCAGCGUGACCAAAGAGAAAAAGUCUGGAGAGAAAACAAUUGGAAAGCACAGGAAAAAAGGAGGCAAGAUAUAGAUAUAGCAGUACAAAAAAUACUUAAAAGAGAAGAUACAAAAGGUAUUCAAAAUGGAUCUAGUGGUACAGUGCUAAUUCCAGACACAUCAAACUGAUAAAGUUUAUUAAUAAAAGACAUAAAGGUGAUAAGAAAAAGAAAAUAAAAGUAACACUUUUAAUAUGGAAUAUGAAAACCAAUGUAAAAGUUGAAAUUUUAUCAGAAGGGGAUGUCCUGAAUGACAAAAUAUACCGUGAUAUGAGUUUGGAAGAUUUGUAUUAAUAAUUGAAAUUUUAUGUAAGGAAAUAUAUUAAUAAAAAUUCUGUUAUUAAUUUCUAUUAAUAAAUUUUAUAUCAAAAAGAAGAAA